UACGUAGGGUGCGAGCGUUGUCCGGAAUUAUUGGGCGUAAAGAGCUUGUAGGCGGUUUGUCGCGUCUGCUGUGAAAAUCCGGGGCUCAACCCCGGACUUGCAGUGGGUACGGGCAGACUAGAGUGUGGUAGGGGAGACUGGAAUCCUGGUGUAGCGGUGAAAUGCGCAGAUAUCAGGAGGAACAUCCGUGGCGAAGGCGGCUCUCUGGGACGGUACUGACGCUGAGACGCGAAAGCGUGGGGAGCGAACAGG
rnacentral:rRNA from 1 species